rnacentral:lncRNA from 1 species
CAGAACACGGCUGGAGUCCAUCCUGCCAGUCAAUCAUUAACUGUAGGCAAGUAAAACUAUAUUGCACCAAUAAAUUAGGGUAUAAAGCAUUUAAUGAAAAUGUCUGAAUAAUAUACAUAAAGGCUCGCUGUGGUAAUUGCAUAGAUCCUGGAGGUUAAUUACAAAUAAAUUAUUAGAUGUCCCUUGAGCUUUCCUGACUAUUGCAAGAGGACUCUGUGGUGAAAUCGAAAGGGCGAUCUACCAUCAUAAAUGGGUGUUAUAAACGAAUGCAUAAAUUAAUUGGUCUGUUUAAGAAUCCUAUUAAAAAGAGAUGGUCAUCUUUGGGCAACCGAGAAGCCUUUGGAAAUGAUGGCAGGUUAACUGGGAUUAUGUGUUGACACUACUUAACUAUUUGCACAGUGCUACAAUCCUCACAGAAGCAUAGAACUAGGAGGAACCUUUGACGUCUGCUGAUUUUGCCCCCUUUGCCACGCAGGAUCUGCAACACUGGGUGGGACUUCAGCUUCAAUGGUUGAUGACUCCUCCACCUCUUGGCACUGCCACCAGCGGGAGGUUGCAUUUGACAUGUAAAUUCUACUCAGUAUUGAUCCAGAGCAGAUUCCAAUGUUUAGUUAGCAGAGUAAAAACUUAAACACGUUGCAGGAUUCCCAAAAGAUAGACGAGAGGCAAUUGUAUUUCAUCCAGCAGAGCUUUAUUGCUACUGAAGGCAAAUGAGCAUAAUGGUCACAAAUCCAAUACAUUCGAGAUUGGCACUGUCCACAAGAAAUUUAGUUGCAGCAGACUUAUCUUAAACUUAACAAGAACUUAUAAUAAGUCUAAGCCUUAACACUAUAUACAGAACACCACACCAGAAGGGAAAGAGAUAGAAAGAGAAAGUGAAACCCAGGCACCUUCUGGCCUCUUAUUAUAGUCAGCAUGACCUUGACAGAAAAAGACAACAGAACCAGUUUAACCCAGCUGUACUCAGCUUCUCUGAAGGAAUAACCCAAACAUCAUGAACCUUCUUGUUUCUUUCACACAGAGAAGCUUUCAGAACCCUAUUGAGUUAAUUAGAAUAGGAAAGACCUCUACAAAUCAGAUCAAUGCUAACAGAUGCAAACUGACAGCUUUGAUCCUCAUUCUCCUCAGUGGCAGGAGAAAGAACAGAUUGCUGGAAUUGUACCACAGUUGGCUCCAGGGUUUUCCAAAGUUGGGCUUCCAGCUGGUUUUGGAGUACAGUUCUCAUCCCUGACCACUGGUUCUGCUAGCUAGGGAUGAUCGGAGUUGUAGUCCAACAGCAGCUGGAGACCCAAGUUUGGGUAACCCUGAUGUAGACCUAAAUGCACCUUUUUGCAGGGUCUCUGGCAUUUUGUUGUAUUUUUGCUGGCGCUGUCGUUCUUUGUGUUUAAUUUCUGGUAAGUUAGGGGUAGUGGUUUUGUUUUCCUGUGGGAUGAUGCUUUGUUGCUAUUAUCUGAUAAGACAGCAUGGGAAAUGGAUUGUUGGAUGUGUUAAUUGGCUUUCAGUUAGGCUAGCAUUGGUUUGCAUUGUUACAAAAAUGUGAUUUUUGCUGCAUAUACUGCCAUUUCUGUAGGUUGUGAACUGCCUUGAGCACUGUAAUGUAGAAAGGAGGUCCACAAAUGAAGAAAACAAAACAAAGUGAAACCCAUUCGUGUACUGAAAAUUCUGGAACCUACGAAAAUCAGGAGUGCAUAUCUGGAAUAUAGUUGCAGAUGCACACUUAUAGGAGAGGGUCCCAUUGACCUCACCAGACCUUAGUGCUAUGUAAGCACAGAUCAGAUUGUGCUGCCUAUGACCUAGGCAUUCCCUCAAGAGGCAGCAAAUACUUUCCUGAUUGGUAUGCAUGAGCAUUGCUAAGCAGCUUCCUAAUAAAGGAUGGGUCCAAAUCACAGUCAAUCUCUGCAUACUAACCAUGGGGACUUUGAUGUGUUCGGAAAUGCUGUUGAGCAGCUGAAACUUAAAUAGGAACUGCUAACAGGCUGUAGCAUCUGAAAGGUUGCCAGCAGCAAUCCUUAGUACAUCUUAUCUUCCCUGACUAAUUUGUAUGACAACGUUUAUUCCCCCCCCCCAUUUAAAGCAUUCCCCAUUUUGGAAAGUUGUUUUUGUUCUGGUAAUGGGUUGCUACUGUUCUGUGGCUGCUCAGCUUGUUUGAGUGAUGUUCAGGCUUGUGGUUUAUUAUUUUCUUUCAGGAGAACAGCCUGGAAAUUCUCACCAGGCUAUGAUGCAGCAGAAACUGGCAAUUGCAUCUUGCAAAUAAACGGAACCAAUUCAUCUUAAUAGAGGGUUUAGAGGAGAGAUCUGAGAGAUGUUGCUGUAGACAUGCAACUUGAUGAAAUAUGGCACUGUAUAUGAGAAUAUCUGGCUGACAGUUGGGCAGCUAAUCCCUAAAAAAAAAAUACUUUUGAGUUUUAUUGAAGAUACAUGUCAAGAAGCAAAGUUAACACAAGGAGGGGGGGGUAACCAAGGACUGAAGAAUCCAAAACAAAGCUUAAACGUGUGGUGCAUAACCCAGGAUACAAGUAC